CCAAUUCCCUUCCAGUGCGGCCACGGCGGGGCCCUUCGCAUCCCUCGGCGCCUCCAACCCCGCGCCGCCCUGGCUCAGGCGGGCGCCCCUCCUGCGCCAGCCCCACCACUCACCGCGCGCUCGUCGCCCGCGCCCGCCGAGCCCUGCGUGUGCAUGGUGCCGCACCCGAAGCUUCUCGGCCAGCGUCUUCCACUGACACCCCUGCCCAGGCGUCCCUGGGCCGCAGUUUGCCACUGUCAGUGGGGUCAGGAGCAGCCUGAAGGGAUGAUCACCUGAGAGGUGCCUGGUGAAACCUGCCCAUUCAUCUCAGGCCCGUGGAAACCAGGGUGGUGUUUAUUCUGCCUGGAACAUCCCAACCAUUGUCUGCUUUGACUAAAAGACUGCAGUGUGAUUCCUCAGUGAAGCUAUCCCUGAGUCCCCCAAACAGUGGGACAACUCUGUGGAAGGCAGUGUGCUUGGACUUCAGAGUCAGACCUGGAUCCAAAUCCCUGCUCUGCAGCAUGACCUUGGCCAAGUCCUGCAGCCUGCAUUUGCCUCAUUCCUGCAGAACAGGAGGUGGCAACAGCUCUCC